rnacentral:tRNA from 3 species
GUCAGGAUAGCUCAGUUGGUAGAGCAGAGGACU